rnacentral:rRNA from 1 species
ACGAACGUUGGCGGCGUGCUUAAUACAUGCAAGUCAACUGAAGCACCGGUAGUAAUACUGGUGUGGAGGUGGCGCACGGGUGAGUAACACGUAGGUAAUCUGCCUUCAGGUCUGACAUAACCCCGAGAAAUCGGGGCUAAUAGCAGAUGAUGCAGCGGCUUGACAUCAAGACAGUUGUUAAAGCUUCGGCGCCUGAAGAUGAGCCUGCGUCUGAUUAGCUAGUUGGCGGAGUAAUGGCCCACCAAGGCUACGAUCAGUAACUGGUCUGAGAGGAUGAUCAGUCACACUGGAACUGAGACACGGUCCAGACUCCUACGGGAGGCAGCAGUAAGGAAUAUUGCCCAAUGGGAGAAAUCCUGAAGCAGCAACGCCGCGUGAGGGAUGAAGGGCUUUUGCUCGUAAACCUCUGUAGUGAGGGAAAAAAUUUCCACUCUGUGGAAUAUGAUGGUACCUCAAAAGUAAGCCCCGGCUAACUACGUG